AUUGAACGCUGGCGGCAGGCCUAACACAUGCAAGUCGAACGAGUGGCGGACGGGUGAGUAAUGUCUGGGAAACGGCCCGAUGGAGGGGGAUAACUACUGGAAACGGUAGCUAAUACCGCAUACCAUCGGAUGUGCCCAGAUGGGAUUAGCUAGUAGGUGGGGUAAAGGCUCACCUAGGCGACGAUCCCUAGCUUGUCUGAGAGGAUGACCAGCCACACUGGAACUGAGACACGGCCCAGACUCCUACGGGAGGCAGCAGUGGGGAAUAUUUCACAAUGGGCGCAAGCCUGAUGCAGCCAUGCCGCGUGUAUGAAGAAGGCCUUCGGGUUGUAAAGUACUUUCAGCGAGGAGGCGUUACCCGCAGAAGAAGCACCGGCUAACUCCGUGCCAGCAGCCGCGGUAAUUC
rnacentral:rRNA from 1 species